AGAGUUUGAUCCUGGCUCAGGACGAACGCUGGCGGCGUGCUUUACACAUGCAAGUCGAACGGAGAAGCACCUUCGGGUGUGGAUCAGUGGCGAACGGGUGAGUAACACGUGGGUAACCUGCCCCUCACUUCGGGAUAACUCCGGGAAACCGGGGCUAAUACUGGAUAUCACCAGACCGGGCAUCCGGACUGGUUGAAAGGGUUACUGGUGAGGGAUGGACCCGCGGCCUAUCAGCUAGUUGGUGGGGUAAUGGCCUACCAAGGCGACGACGGGUAGCCGGCCUGAGAGGGCGACCGGCCGCACUGGGACUGAGACACGGCCCGGACUCCUACGGGAGGCAGCAGUGGGGAAUAUUGCGCAAUGGACGAAAGUCUGACGCAGCAACGCCGCGUGAGGGAACGAAGGCCUUUGGGUUGUAAACCUCUUUCAGCAGGGACGAAGCGAAAGUGACGGUACCUGCAGAAGAAGCACCGGCUAACUACGUGCCAGCAGCCGCGGUAAUACGUAGGGUGCAAGCGUUGUCCGGAUUUAUUGGGCGUAAAGGGCUCGUAGGCGGUCUGUCGCGUCGGAAGUGAAAACCUGGAGCUCAACUCCAGGCCUGCUUUCGAUACGGGCAGACUAGAGUUCGGUAGGGGAGACUGGAAUUCCUGGUGUAGCGGUGGAAUGCGCAGAUAUCAGGAGGAACACCAAUGGCGAAGGCAGGUCUCUGGGCCGACACUGACGCUGAGGAGCGAAAGCGUGGGUAGCAAACAGGAUUAGAUACCCUGGUAGUCCACGCCGUAAACGGUGGGCGCUAGGUGUGGGGAACAAUCUACGUUUUCCGCGCCGCAGCUAACGCAUUAAGCGCCCCGCCUGGGGAGUACGGCCGCAAGGCUAAAACUCAAAGGAAUUGACGGGGGCCCGCACAAGCGGCGGAGCAUGCGGCUUAAUUCGAUGCAACGCGAAGAACCUUACCUAGGCUUGACAUAUGACCAGAGCAUGCAGAGAUGUAUGUGCAUUUAGUUGGGGUCAUACAGGUGGUGCAUGGCUGUCGUCAGCUCGUGUCGUGAGAUGUUGGGUUAAGUCCCGCAACGAGCGCAACCCUCGUCCUAUGUUGCCAGCGGGUAAUGCCGGGGACUCAUAGGAGACCGCCGGGGUCAACUCGGAGGAAGGUGGGGACGACGUCAAGUCAUCAUGCCCCUUAUGUCUAGGGCUGCACGCAUGCUACAAUGGCCGGUACAAAGGGCUGCAAAAUCGUAAGAUUAAGCGAAUCCCAUAAAGCCGGUCUCAGUUCGGAUUGGGGUCUGCAACUCGACCCCAUGAAGUCGGAGUCGCUAGUAAUCGCAGAUCAGCAACGCUGCGGUGAAUACGUUCCCGGGCCUUGUACACACCGCCCGUCACGUCACGAAAGUCGGUAACACCCGAAGCCGGUGGCCUAACCCUUUACUGGGAGGGAGCUGUCGAAGGUGGGACUGGCGAUUGGGACGAAGUCGUAAUAAGGUA
rnacentral:rRNA from 1 species